GCCCCGCUUGCGGGGUGGAUUAGUGGCGAACGGGUGAGUAACACGUGAGCAAUCUGCCCCUGACUCUGGGAUAAGCGUUGGAAACGACGUCUAAUACCGGAUAUGACGACUGGCCGCAUGGUCUGGUUGUGGAAAGAUUUUUCGGUUGGGGAUGAGCUCGCGGCCUAUCAGCUUGUUGGUGAGGUAAUGGCUCACCAAGGCGACGACGGGUAGCCGGCCUGAGAGGGUGACCGGCCACACUGGGACUGAGACACGGCCCAGACUCCUACGGGAGGCAGCAGUGGGGAAUAUUGCACAAUGGGCGCAAGCCUGAUGCAGCAACGCCGCGUGAGGGAUGACGGCCUUCGGGUUGUAAACCUCUUUUGUCCAGGAAGAAGCCUUCGGGUGACGGUACUGGGAGAAAAAGCACCGGCUAACUACGUGCCAGCAGCCGCGGUAAUACGUAGGGUGCAAGCGUUGUCCGGAAUUAUUGGGCGUAAAGAGCUCGUAGGCGGUUUGUCGCGUCUGCUGUGAAAUCCCGAGGCUCAACCUCGGGCCUGCAGUGGGUACGGGCAGACUAGAGUGCGGUAGGGGAGAUUGGAAUUCCUGGUGUAGCGGUGGAAUGCGCAGAUAUCAGGAGGAACACCGAUGGCGAAGGCAGAUCUCUGGGCCGUAACUGACGCUGAGGAGCGAAAGCGUGGGGAGCGAACAGGAUUAGAUACCCUGGUAGUCCACGCCGUAAACGUUGGGAACUAGAUGUGGGGGCCAUU
rnacentral:rRNA from 1 species